AGCUGCCAGGCCUGUGCGCAGGGGAGCUCAACUCUGUCAGCCCAAGCAGCCCACAUGACUGCUCAGGCAGCCCCCAGCCGUGCCCCGCGUGACAGGUGCCCAGCAGUGCGUGGACGAUGCUGAGUGUGGCAAAAGGUGAACAGGCUCAGUGUGACCGCUCACACCCAAGCGCGCCCCCGCACAGGCGGCAGGCACAGGGGACAGGGCGGCAGGAGCUCAUGGGGUCGAGCGUUUGCCGCAUCAAAGAACAGCAAACCCGGAAGACCGCAGAGACAACCAGAUUGCAGCACGUGUGCUCAUUAAGGCCCCUGGGAGGAUCGUGUGGCCCGGAAGGGCACCUGCCUGUGCCACGCCUGGCCCGGGCUGAUGACAGAUUUUUGCAUGUUUUUAAGUACCUGAGCCAAGCGUGGUGGUGCAAAACUGUAUUCCCAGGACUGGGGAGGCUGAGGCAGGAGAGUCACCGUGAGUUUGAGGCCAGCCUGGGCUACAGAGAGAGCUGAAGACCAGCCUGCACUAAGUAUCAAGAUCCUGUCUCAAAAACCCAAAAACAUGAAAUAAAUAAAUAAAGUUCCCUCUUGGCCUUCUCAACCAGAUGACAAGAGACCCAAAGACACGGUCCACACCCAUGCUCAACGGUUGGAUUUUGUGUUUUUGUUACCGGGAAUCAAACUCAGGACCUUGCACUUGCCAGGCAGGCGCUGUGCUGCUGAGCCACAUCCCCGGCCCCAUGCCAGCAGUUGGGAUGCUGUGGUUUGAAUGGGACCCCCAAAAUCCUGUCUUGGAAACACCGUCCCCAGUGCAGCGGUGCUGG
rnacentral:lncRNA from 1 species